UGUGUCAUCAUUGUCAAUGUUAAAAUUGCCUGCGGUACCCGUAAGUUAUUCGUUCGUUGCUGGCCGAGUUUCACAACAUUUGCAGAUCUGUUCUAACGAUGGAUUCUCAAAAUUCUUCCCCUAAUCAAUCUGAGGGAAAUCCGGCAGAAAGUACUACUCACAGCGGACAAAGCAAUGUAAUCCAGUACUGGUCUUACAGAAGAUACACAAUCUUGAAAUGGAUGCACCAAAACUUCAAGGUAGUGAACGAUAAACUGAUUCCUAAGAAAAAGCAAAUGUAGUCGACCUUCAAGAACCAACCCAUUUAGUUGCUUCAAAUCAUUUUUUAAACCUCUUCUUAUACUUAAUCAGCCAUAAUAUGCCAUGUUAGAAAUUUUUCUUAUCCAUAGAUUAUUAAAUAUGUGAAAAUGUAUUUAUAAAUAAAUGUUCAAACCCAA